rnacentral:rRNA from 1 species
AUUGAACGCUGGCGGCAUGCUUUACACAUGCAAGUCGAACGGUAACAGGGUGCUUGCACCGCUGACGAGUGGCGAACGGGUGAGUAAUGCGUCGGAACGUGCCGAGUAGUGGGGGAUAACGCAGCGAAAGUUGUGCUAAUACCGCAUACGUACUGAGGUAGAAAGUGGGGGACCUUCGGGCCUCACGCUAUUCGAGCGGCCGACGUCUGAUUAGCUAGUAGGUGAGGUAAAGGCUCACCUAGGCGACGAUCAGUAGCGGGUCUGAGAGGAUGAUCCGCCACACUGGGACUGAGAAACGGCCCAGACUCCUACGGGGGGCAGCAGUGGGGAAUUUUGGACAAUGGGCGAAAGCCUGAUCCAGCCAUGCCGCGUGUCUGAAGAAGGCCUUCGGGUUGUAAAGGACUUUUGUCAGGGAGGAAAUCCCUAGUGCUAAUAACACUGGGGGAUGACAGUACCUGAAGAAUAAGCACCGGCUAACUACGUGCCAGCCGCCGCAGUAA